GCCACUGGCAAGCCUAGACCUGCACCCUAGAAGUGAAAGCAAAUCAAGAUAAAAUUAUUAAAUUAUUUAUCGUUUGUAUGGAUAAAAUUCAACGGGAAGAUAUAUUCUCACAUUUACUGAGUAACAAGUGUUUAAACAACAGUCCGUCAGUAACUUUCUGGACUUGGCUCCAGUUACGCGAGAACUGAAGGUUUUCAAGCUUCUCCCACAACCAGCCUUCAAGGGUAACAAGUCAACGGACUUGCAGGAUCCUAGACUUAUUUGCUACUUGCUUAAGGAUAAAAAAAAUGUGUAUCAUUU